AUUGAACGCUGGCGGCAGGCCUAACACAUGCAAGUCGAGCGGAUGAAGGGAGCUUGCUCCUGGAUUCAGCGGCGGACGAGUGAGUAAUGCCUAGGAAUCUGCCUGGUAGUGGGGGAUAACGUCCGGAAACGGGCGCUAAUACCGCAUACGUCCUGAGGGAGAAAGUGGGGGAUCUUCGGACCUCACGCUAUCAGAUGAGCCUAGGUCGGAUUAGCUAGUUGGUGGGGUAAAGGCCUACCAAGGCGACGAUCCGUAACUGGUCUGAGAGGAUGAUCAGUCACACUGGAAGUGAGACACGGUCCAGACUCCUAAGGGAGGCAGCAGUGGGUAAUAUUGGACAAUGGGCGAAAGCCUGAUCCAGCCAUGCCGCGUGUGUGAAGAAGGUCUUCGGAUUGUAAAGCACUUUAAGUUGGGAGGAAGGGCAGUAAGUUAAUACCUUGCUGUUUUGACGUUACCAACAGAAUAAGCACCGGCUAACUUCGUG
rnacentral:rRNA from 1 species